AUUGAACGCUGGCGGCAGGCCUAACACAUGCAAGUCGAGCGGAUGAAGGGAGCUUGCUCCUGGAUUCAGCGGCGGACGGGUGAGUAAUGCCUAGGAAUCUGCCUGGUAGUGGGGGAUAACGUCCGGAAACGGGCGCUAAUACCGCAUACGUCCUGAGGGAGAAAGUGGGGGAUCUUCGGACCUCACGCUAUCAGAUGAGCCUAGGUCGGAUUAGCUAGUUGGUGGGGUAAAGGCCUACCAAGGCGACGAUCCGUAACUGGUCUGAGAGGAUGAUCAGUCACACUGGAACUGAGACACGGUCCAGACUCCUACGGGAGGCAGCAGUGGGGAAUAUUGGACAAUGGGCGAAAGCCUGAUCCAGCCAUGCCGCGUGUGUGAAGAAGGUCUCCGGAUUGUAAAGCACUUUAAGUUGGGAGGAAGGGCAGUAAGUUAAUACCUUGCUAUUUUGACGUUACCAACAGAAUAAGCACCGGCUAACUUCGUG
rnacentral:rRNA from 1 species